UACGUAGGCAGCGAGCGUUGUUCGGAGUUACUGGGCGUAAAGGGUGCGUAGGCGGCGGGGCAAGUCUGAUGUGAAAUCCCGGGGCUCAACCCCGGAACUGCAUUGGAUACUGCCUUGCUAGAGUACUGGAGAGGGAACUGGAAUUUACGGUGUAGCAGUGAAAUGCGUAGAGAUCGGGAGGAACAUCAGUGGCGAAGGCGGCCAUCUGGGACAACACUGACGCUGAGGCACGAAAGCGUGGGGAGCAAACAGG
rnacentral:rRNA from 1 species